AUCGGCUUAGUUUAAAGGUAGAACAGCAGUCUCCAAAACUGCUAGUCUGGGUUCGAUUCCUAGAGCCGGUGCCA
rnacentral:tRNA from 1 species